AGUAACGCGUAAGAACCUACCCCCAGGAGAGGGAUACCAACUGGAAACGGUUGUUAAUACCUCCUAUGCUGAGGAGUGAAAGGCUUUCAAGCCGCCUAGGGAUGGGCUUGCGUCUGAUUAGCUAGUUGGGGGAGUAAAGGCCUCCCAAGGCGAUGAUCAGUAGCUGGUCUGAGAGGACAAUCAGCCACACUGGGACUGAGACACGGCCCAG
rnacentral:rRNA from 1 species